rnacentral:rRNA from 1 species
UUUUACAUGAGAGUUUGAUCCUGGCUCAGGACGAACGCUGGCGGCGUGCCUAAUACAUGCAAGUCGAGCGGAC